UAGGUAACCUGCCCCGGAGCGGGGGAUAACAUUUGGAAACAGAUGCUAAUACCGCAUAACAAUAAAAGCCGCAUGGCUUUUAUUUGAAAGAUGGCUUUGGCUAUCACUCUGGGAUGGACCUGCGGUGCAUUAGCUAGUUGGUAAGGUAACGGCUUACCAAGGCGAUGAUGCAUAGCCGAGUUGAGAGACUGAUCGGCCACAAUGGAACUGAGACACGGUCCAUACUCCUACGGGAGGCAGCAG
rnacentral:rRNA from 1 species